GUUAUGUUCAGCUGACAUUAGCACAUCGCCAAUGUCAUCCAGUUUAAUACCCAUUUUUCAGGUGACAGAAACCCUUUAAUGGUAUUUCCCCUUACGACUCCCAGUGAAGUCUGGAUGUUUAUCUGUGUCUUUAUUUUUGUUUCCUUCUGUUA